GACGAACGCUGGCGGCGUGCUUAACACAUGCAAGUCGAGCGGUAAGGCCCUUUCGGGGGUACACGAGCGGCGAACGGGUGAGUAACACGUGGGUGACCUGCCCUCAGCUCUGGGAUAAGCCUGGGAAACCGGGUCUAAUACCGGAUAUGACUCCAUGACGCAUGUUGUGGGGUGGAAAGCCUUGUGCGGCUGAGGAUGGGCCCGCGGCCUAUCAGCUUGUUGGUGGGGNGAUGGCCUACCAAGGCGACGACGGGUAGCCGGCCUGAGAGGGCGACCGGCCACACUGGGACUGAGGCACGGCCCAGACUCCUACGGGAGGCAGCAGUGGGGAAUCUUGCGCAAUGGGCGAAAGCCUGACGCAGCGACGCCGCGUGGGGAUGACGGCCUC
rnacentral:rRNA from 1 species